GUUAGCCGUUUCUUAGUCGUGUGUAAGCCGUUUGUUAGCCGUUAAUAAGCCGUUUGGUAGGCGUUUGUUAGUCGUUUGUUAGCCGUUGGUAUGCCAUUUGUUAGCUGUUUGUUAGUCGUUUGUUAGUCGUUUGUUAGCCAUUUGUAAGCUGUUUGUUAGGCGUUUACAUCCGUUUGUGAGCCGUUUCCAUCUGAGUGUUAGCCGUUUGUUAACCGUUUUUUUAGUCGCUCGUUAGGCGUUCGUUUGCCGUUUGUUAGCCUUUCGCUAGCCGUUAGUGUACGUUUUCGCGUUACAGGUCGCAUAUUUGUCUUUUUGAUUACAAUUACAAACACAAAGCCUUCAUGCAUUUGCUUUCAGGUUCACUGAGCUUCUGGACAGUGUGUUACAUUAUCUUCUUCCUUCUUGGAAUUAUUCAGCUGGGUCGUUUAAAGACUUGGAGGCUAUUCGACAACUUCUGCCUUUGUCCAAACACAGAACCAUGCUGAUUGAGAAAGCUAUCAGAGAAUCACAGUCUGGUACUCCAGCACACAUGCCAAAGUUGUUCAUCAACAGACGGUCAGCGGCUGAACACAGAGCUGAUCCAACACAAGACCCAGAUGCCAAACACUCCAUACUUAACCAGUUAUAUGAAGGACUAAAACAAGAAAAAUGUGGAGUAAAGCUGGAUUACAGGUAGGAACCGCACUUUCAGUGAUAAUAUUACAAUAGCAUAGUGCGUUCACGUUUAAAACGAAGGUCCAUGCUGAAAUAAUUACACUUGUAGUGUAGUUAUAGCUUUUGCGUUAGAUCAGAUAAAAGAUUUGUGACUUUCUCAGGAGAUAAUUAAAAGCGCCUUUCCAAAACGGUUGCAACAGCCUGCAAUAUAAGCUAUCUCUUUCACUGGUAAUUCUUGCUGCAAAGGCGUUGAAUAAUGUUGACAUAAUGUUGGAGAUGGCUUCUCUUUUAGGCUAGAACAGUUAGCUCUGGGCAUAUACCAGUUAUGCAACGGUUUCAAGUGAUAUACCAUGGAAUAUCCCAUACCAUGCCAUAGAAAAUACAGUGGCUAACACAAUGCAUUCGACAUACGUGCGGUGCAUGGUGGGAACGUUGGAUGUAAUACCGUCAAAUAUACAACGGCUUUCCUGUAUUCCGAUUGGCUGUAUUUUUUGUGGCAUGGUAUAAAACAGCGUAUACUGUGGGCUUAAGAACCUCACUGUUACAUGGAAGGCCGUCCAAACUGAGGAUAAAUUUUACUUCUCCAAGACACUCUGUCAGCCGCCGCCAGCCUUGCGUCUAUCCAAGAACAGUAACCCAUCGCCAUUCACUCUUUCUCCACUGUCCUACGCCAUGUUUCUCUGGGUCUUCCACUCUUGCAUUUUCGUUCCGGUACCCACGUCAGUGCAACUCGUGGGAUGGAACUGUUAUCCAUUCACAGCACAUGCCCAAUCCAUG